GCUCGUUUGACGCAGUGGUAGCGUGCCGUUCUUAUACUUCUUCGAAAGCGAAGUCUGUAUGACAGAAAUGCGGAAGCCGUGAGUUCGACCCUCACAACGAGCA